CUACGGGGUGCUGCAGUGAGGAAUAUUGCACAAUGGGGGGAACCCUGAUGCAGCAACGCCGCGUGGAGGAUGACGCAUUUCGGUGUGUAAACUCCUUUUAUAUGUCAAGAAAAUGACGGUAGCAUAUGAAUAAGCACCCGCUAACUCCGUGCCAGCAGCCGCGGUAAUACGGAGGGUGCAAGCGUUAAGCGGAAUCACUGGGCGUAAAGGACGCGUAGGCGGGUUGGAAAGUCAGGUGUGAAAUCCUACAGCUUAACUGUAGAACUGCACUUGAAACUUCUAAUCUAGAGUAUGGGAGGGGGAGAUGGAAUUAGUGGUGUAGGGGUAAAAUCCGUAGAUAUCACUAGGAAUACCUAAAGCGAAGGCGAUCUCCUGGAACAUUACUGACGCUAAGGCGUGAAAGCGUGGGGAGCAAACAGGAUUAGAUACCCCCGUAGUC
rnacentral:rRNA from 1 species